GCGACUAUCACAUUCCCUCUUUUUUAUAGUUUAGAAGGGCUAUAUGAAGGUAGUGUGGCUACCGGAGAGUUAAAUUUCACAUCAACCUUUGUUGAUCUUCCUCCACCUUCAGCUCCAUCCAGGAGUGUGUCUGGACAAAGUCUCAAUCCCUUGAGUACUAAUUCACUUGAUUUGGAUGGACAAGAAACCACCAGUGUCUUCAAUCUAUCUUCUGAUGCUCAAUCUGUCCCAGUCAAUACUAAUGAACCCACUGAAGCUCAAUUUGUCCCAUCUAAUCAAGAAUCAAGCCAGAGAGAAGGUGGCAGUGGGAGAAGCGUAAGCAAAGCCAUGUUGGAUUAGCUCUUGAAAAUUAUGUGGAGUUUAAAAAGAUCCAAAAUACAGAAACACUUGAAACUCUUAAAGAACAUAAGAGGCAAGAGGAUCAAUUUUCUAUUAGCAAGUGUCAGGUUGAAUUGAAAGGAAUGGAUGGAUUAACAGCAGAGGACAAAUCAUACGCUUUGGUGCUUUUUGAAUCUGCGAUAAAUAGAGAGGUUUUCUUAACAACAACAGAGCAUGAUGUUAGAGAAAUUUGGCUCAAGCGCAAAAUUAGGUUGCUUAGAAGCAGUGUGCAGUGAUGCGAGGUAUGGAUG